AACGUAGGGGCCAGCGUUGUCCGGAAUUACUGGGCGUAAAGAGCGCGUAGGCGGUUUGGUUAGCGGAGGGUGCAAUCCAGAGGCUCAACCUCUGAACUGCUCUCCGAACUGCCAGACUUGAGUACGGGAGAGGGUAGUGGAAUUCCUGGUGUAGCGGUGGAAUGCGUAAAUAUCAGGAGGAACACCCGUGGCGAAGGCUGCUACCUGGAACGUUACUGACGCUGAGGCGCGAAAGCUAGGGGAGCGAACGGGAUUAGAUACCCCUGUAGUCCCUGAG
rnacentral:rRNA from 1 species